GUUUGCCACAGGAAAAUACAUGCUGCUGCUGGAGGAUGCAAGAUGACUCCUAGGUCCCUGUGUCUUCUUGCAUGAUGAAGUGGGGCCCAGGAGUCAACAUGCUGUCACGGGCACCCCUCUAAUCGGUGGCACCCGGGGAGGACUGCCUCCCGCACUCCCCUCAGUACGCCAGUGACAACACCCAAUGCUAGUGCAAUCUGAGG